rnacentral:tRNA from 1 species
GUUAAUGUAGCUUAAACAAAUAAAGCAAAGCACUGAAAAUGCUUAGAUGAGUAAAGCCACUCCAUAAACA